AGCUUUGUGCAGUGGCAGUAUUGUAGCCAAUGAAGUCUAUUUGAGGCACGAUUAUUCCUAAUUGAAAACUUUCAAUAUCUUGAAUUAAACCAGUAUCAUUAUUUUGUAGGGCCCCAAGUGAUGCAUUGAUUUGUUUCACUUUGGGGC